UCCGAUGUGGUGUAGUGGUUAUCAUACUGCGCUUUCAAGAGAAUUCUUAAAGUGCCGCAGGGAUCGGGGUUCGAUUCCCCGCAUCGGAG